rnacentral:rRNA from 1 species
GACGAACGCUGGCGGCGUGCCUAAUACAUGCAAGUUGAGCGCUGAAGGUUGGUACUUGUACCAACUGGAUGAGCAGCGCACGGGUGAGUAACGCGUGGGGAAUCUGCCUUUGAGCGGGGGACAACAUUUGGAAACGAAUGCUAAUACCGCAUAAAAACUUUAAACACAAGUUUUAAGUUUGAAAGAUGCAAUUGCAUCACUCAAAGAUGAUCCCGCGUUGUAUUAGCUAGUUGGUGAGGUAAAGGCUCACCAAGGCGAUGCUACAUAGCCGACCUGAGAGGGUGAGCGGCCACAUUGGGACGGAGACCCGGCACAAACUCCUACGGGAGGCAGCAGUAGGGAAUCUUCGGACAUGGACGAAAGACUGACCGAGCAACGCCGCGUGAGUGAAGAAGGUUGUCGGAUCGUAAAACUCUGUUGGUAGGGAAGAACGUUGGUGAGAGUGGAAAGCUCAGCAAGUGACGGUAACUACCCAGAAAGGGACGGCUAACUACGUG